UCGGGAAUUUUGGGCAAUGGGGGAAACCCUGACCCAGCAACGCCGCGUGAAGGAUGAAGUAUUUCGGUAUGUAAACUUCGAAAGAAUAGGAAGAAUAAAUGACGGUACUAUUUAUAAGGUCCGGCUAACUACGUGCCAGCAGCCGCGGUAAUACGUAGGGACCAAGCGUUGUUCGGAUUUACUGGGUGUAAAGGGCGCGUAGGCGGCAAUUCAAGUCAUCUGUGAAAUCUCCGGGCUUAACUCGGAACGGUCAGAUGAUACUGUCGCGCUAGAGUGCAGAAGGGGCAAUCGGAAUUCUUGGUGUAGCGGUGAAAUGCGUAGAUAUCAAGAGGAACACCUGAGGUGAAGACGGGUUGCUGGGCUGACACUGACGCUGAGGCGCGAAAGCCAGGGGAGCAAACGGGAUUAGAUACCCGUGUAGUCCCUGAGCGGGCUGGCAAGGCGCAU
rnacentral:rRNA from 1 species